rnacentral:rRNA from 1 species
CAGCAGCCGCGGUAAUCCGGAGAGAGCUAGCGUUGUUCGGAAUUACUGGGCGUAAAGCGCGCGUAGGCGGUUACUCAAGUCAGAGGUGAAAGCCCGGGGCUCAACCCCGGAACUGCCUUUGAAACUAGGUGACUAGAAUCUUGGAGAGGUCAGUGGAAUUCCGAGUGUAGAGGUGAAAUUCGUAGAUAUUCGGAAGAACACCAGUGGCGAAGGCGACUGACUGGACAAGUAUUGACGCUGAGGUGCGAAAGCGUGGGGAGCAAACAGGAUUAGAUACCCCGGUAGUCCCUGUCUCUUAUAC